rnacentral:rRNA from 1 species
AGAGUUUGAUCAUGGCUCAGGAUGAACGCUGGCGGUCUGCUUAACACAUGCAAGUCGAACGGAAUCUUUCGGGAUUUAGUGGCGGACGGGUGAGUAACGCGUGAGAAUCUGCCUUCAGGUUCGGGACAACAGUUGGAAACGGCUGCUAAUACCGGAUGUGCCGAGAGGUGAAAGCUUAAGUGCCUGGAGAUGAGCUUGCGUCUGAUUAGCUAGUAGGAGUGGUAACGGCACCCCUAGGCGACGAUCAGUAGCUGGUCUGAGAGGAUGAUCAGCCACACUGGGACUGAGACACGGCCCAGACUCCUACGGGAGGCAGCAGUGGGGAAUUUUCCGCAAUGGGCGCAAGCCUGACGGAGCAAGACCGCGUGAGGGAAGAAGGUCUGUGGAUUGUAAACCUCUUUUGAUCGGGAAGAAGACAGUGACGGUACCGAUCGAAUCAGCUCGAUCCCAC